AAAAUCCAAAGUAUAACAAGGGGAGAACAGUUAGUGCUGAUUUUCAUUUGCAUAAAUUUUCAUAUAUUUUGGUGAAAAUAAUAGACUAGUGGAGAGCGGGGCUUAGUGGAGUCAGUGCAAAGGAAAAUCUUAACAUGGAUCGUUUCGCUGGAGUUGAGAACAUGAUUUUUCCCCCCUGUCACCUUAUUAAAAUCCAAAAUUAAAAAAAAUCUCUAAAUCCUGGAAGUAUGAUCGGUCCCGUAGACCAGAGCCACGGCUGAUCGCCCAGCCCCACUCGCUGUGACACCCCCACUUGCGUUCCUCUGGCAGCCUCACCUCCCUCACGAAACCUCGCCGCUUAAGACAGAGCCAGCCAACAGCAGCAUUUUGUGACCCAUUCUGUUCUCCAGUCUUGUUAUAUGGAUUUCUGUCUCUCUGAGUAGUUCCUAAGCAUCCCCUUGGAUGACAUCUACCACACAGUGCCCUGUGUUCUUGCUGGGAAAAUAAGGCCACGCACCCCUUCUUCUCCUGGACUUGCCCAGCGAUGCUUUCAGGGACCAUCUCUGAGCAGCGGCUGCAGCAUGACACGGACAAAGAGCAGCUAUAGGGUGGCAUUGGUAGCCCCCUAGC
rnacentral:lncRNA from 1 species